AACACUUGUGUGUGUUUGCUCAACUGGUGGGCAGAGGCAUGGGACAUGGGUGCAAAGACAAGUCUUCUGCAACCAAGAACUCAUCAUUUAGUAUGAGUUUUGAUACAUAUAAUAAGGAACAUG
ensembl:snoRNA